rnacentral:tRNA from 1 species
GCCUUCGUAGUGUAACGGUAGCACACUCGGCGCGUAUUCGAGAGGUCCAGGUUCGAGUCCCGGCGAGAGCA